GGAUGAAGUAGAGGUGCGGGAGUCAAGAGUACUUUCAGUGAGAGUGGAAUCGAUGAGCUGAAAGAAAAGGGGUAACCGCCGAAGUAAGAAAGAACGCCAAAUCUUCUUACUGGUCUUACAUCAAAUAGAUUUAAGACUGUCACCAGUACUUGGUGGAGUGCUAUCUCAUCU
rnacentral:ncRNA from 2 species